rnacentral:rRNA from 1 species
UUCUGGAAUGGAUCAUGCUGAAACCUAUAUGCCUGAUGGACUGCGCCGAUCAGCUGUUGUGAGGUAAUGGCCCACCAAAACUGUACCGGUACGGGCUCUGAGAGGAGGAGCCCGGAGAUGGGCACUGAGACAAGGGCCCAGGCCCUAUGGGGCGCAGCAGGCGCGAAACCUCUGCAAUAGGCGAAAGCUUGACAGGGUUACUCUGAGUGAUGUCCGUUAAGGGCAUCUUUUGGCACCUCUAAAAAUGGUGCAGAAUAAGGGGUGGGCAAGUCUGGUGUCAGCCGCCGCGGUAAUACCAGCACCCCGAGUGGUCGGGACGAUUAUUGGGCCUAAAGCAUCCGUAGCCGGUUCUGCAAGUCUUCCGUUAAAUCCACCUGCUCAACAGAUGGGCUGCGGGGGAUACUACAGGGCUAGGAGGCGGGAGAGGCAAGCGGUACUCAGUGGGUAGGGGUAAAAUCCUCUGAUCCACUGAAGACCACCAGUGGCGAAGGCGGCUUGCCAGAACGCGCUCGACGGUGAGGGAUGAAAGCUGGGGGAGCAAACCGGAUUAGAUACCCGGGUAGUCCCAGCUGUAAACGAUGCAGACUCGGUGAUGGGUUGGCUUCGGGCCAACCCAGUGCCGCAGGGAAGCCGUUAAGUCUGCCGCCUGGGGAGUACGGUCGCAAGACUGAAACUUAAAGGAAUUGGCGGGGGAGCACCACAAGGGGUGAAGCCUGCGGUUCAAUUGGAUUCAACGCCGG